rnacentral:misc_RNA from 1 species
GGUCAAUUCAGUUUUUUGAAAAUUUUUACAAAAAUAAUCGAAUUGAAAAUCAAAGUCCCUUGAAAUUACUAACCUAACUAAAACGUAUAACUGAAACCAAACUAAAUUAGUUCAAUUAAAACCAUGUACAGCACAACCGUAGUCCCAGAAGGCAGUUGUUAACAAUUAGAAUUGAUUUCCAGCUCAAUAAAUGGGGCCAAAUGUCACUCUGCAAAGUUGGAUACAGCAGCAGACCAUGAGAAACUAAUAAACAGAUAUACAAUACAAGGUGUAUUCAGCUUACAUCUCCAACUUCGUGUAUUAAUGAAUCAAGAUUUUCAAAAUCAGAAGCAAAUGUCUCUCCAAACAUGUAAAUUAACAUGAAAUCCCCAAUGCCUAAACCAACUGUACACUUGGAAACAACUCUCAAAAGAAACCUCAUACCCAAUAUCCACCGUUCCAAUUUCGCUUCGAAAGGAGCCCACCAUGCUCACUCAUGCUCCCUCUUAAUCUAUAAAAUGCUGUUUUACUUCGUACUGUUCUCAAGGGACCUGAUCUGUUCCCCUGCUUAAUAGCUAAAGACAACCGAUCCCCAACCAAACUUGAAGCUGAAAACGGUCUGUUUUCUGUCUCUUCAAGUGGACCUGAACUGUACUCCAUUGUGAUGAAAGACGAGGCUUGCCCAUGAGUUAUUCGAGGGGAUAUCCCACCAGCAUUCCACCAACUACCAUAGGAAGGGGCAAGAUCAACUUUAAAAUCAGAAUCCGGAGCAGAAGACUCCUUUUGACUACAGUUGUCUCCACAAGUCUCAUCCAUGUCAUUGUAUAUUAGCUUUAGAGCCUGAACAACUUCACCCAUGAAGGGUCUGUUAGUCACCUCCGGAUGAACGCACAUAGAAGCAAUGGCAGCCACCUUAGCCAUGUCAUCAAAGCCAUAAGUUCCUGCCAAGGAAGGAUCCACCAACUGCUCCAGUCCUUCUCUACUGGUUAGCAAUGGACGUGCCCAAGUUACUAAAUUUUCCUCCCCAGGAGGCUGGAACAUGUCCACAGGUUUUCUUCCAGAUAGAAGCUCAAGCAGCACAACCCCAUAACUGUAAACAUCACUCUUGACAAGCAGAUGCCCUGUCAUUGCAUAUUCAGGGGCAACAUAUCCAAAAGUCCCAGCAACAUCAGUUGUUGCAUGUGUCUCAGAAGUACCCAAAAUACGUGCAAGGCCAAAGUCAGAAAGAUAUGCAUUAAAAUUGUUGUCCAGCAAUAUGUUGCUUGGUUUAAUAUCACGGUGUAACACCCGAGGGACACACUCAUCGUGCAAAUAAGCAAGGGCACGUGCAAUAUCAAGAGCAAUCUUGUGAAGCAUGCUCCAUUCCACAACCCUCCCUGUUCGCUCCUGGAUGAAUCUCUCUAGAUUGCCGCCAGGAAAGUAGUUGUAGAUUAGGAACAUUUCUGACUCGCUUAGAUGGUAACCUAUCAGCUUUACAAGAUUUGGAUGCUGCACCCUUUCUAGAGUUCUGAUCUCAGCUGCAAACUGUUGAACACCUUGAAAUCUGCCAACUGAUAGCCGCUUUACUGCUACCACAACUCCAGGAACAAUCUCAGCUUUGUAUGUGGCACCAAAACCUCCACUUCCGAUGCAAUUCUGAAUAUUGAAACUCCCAGUAGCCCUCACAACAUUUUCAUACGUCAAAUGUACACCAAUAUCAUUGCAAGUUACAACUUCUUUCCUGCCUGGCCCUUGGCCAGAUGUAGAAUUGCAUAAAAAUUUCUUCAUGCAUGUGAGGAAGAGAAUUAAUGCUACUAGAACAGAGAAAAUAACUGAGGCUGAAGUAACCGAGGCAAUUUCAAUCGGAUUGAAAGCACCAUUAUUCCUCCGUAUGCUUCCAAUGGGAGGACUGGCUCCUUGUUGGGAAAAAUUACCAGAAUGCUCCUGUUCCCAUUCAGAGGAUGAUGGACCAGUAUGACAUGGCUGAAGGUUAGGAUUUCCUUGCACAUUUUCACAUUUAAUUAAGUUUGAAUUCAAAGGUACAGAUCCAGACAAAUUGUUGAAAGAUACAUCAAAUACCGAGAGUGAAGUUGUAUUACCAAGGUUGGAUGGUAUCUUUCCAUAUAAGUGGUUAUGAUCUAACCGCAGUACACUAAGAUGUUGAAGUUUUGCAAAAUCAGGCAGUAUCUCUCCUGAAAGAGAAUUUGAAGAAAGUUCCAAAACCUCUAAUGCAGACAGUUGAGUCAACUCCCAAGGUAUUGCACCAGUAAAGUUAUUGCUGGCAAGCGACAAAUACCUCAAAUCCUUCAUCCAACCAACAAAGGAAGGAAUGGGACCUUGUAAUCUGUUUCUACCGAGGUUAAGACUAACUAGGGAAUCCAAAUGACUAAAGGCACGAUGAAUUGAACCAAUUAAAUAGUUUCCUGCCACAUUGAAAACUUUCAUGCAUUUGCAACUGCUUCCCACAAAAGAAGGGAGUUCACCAACAAUUCUAUUGUUACCAAUAUCAAAAAUCAAGCCAUCUAAACUAAGACACAAAUCAAAGGAAUAAGUUGCAAUAUUGCCCUCAAGAUUAUUCCCACUCAACCAAAAACCAUAGAAGGGCCUAUGAGAAAAACUUCCCAAAGCAAUCAACAGGGGAGGAACUGGCCCGGUGAAAAAGUUGUUGCUCAAAUCAUGUAAUACAGCCAAACCACCAGAAGGAAAAGAGAAUGAACCACUGCCCGUCACAGCAUUUGUGUAAAAGAAAGUAGAGAAGAAGCCAACAAUAUCACCAUAUGAAAUGGACAACUUAAAAAUCUUGGAACACCCGCCAUUAGAAAAUCUCGUAACGUCUCCAGUAAAAGAGUUCCUACUAACGUUAAAAACAACCAUACAUGGAACAGAAAAUGCUUGUGGAAGCAACCCAGUCAAGUUAUUGGAACUCAAAUCGAGAAAGUACAAGUUCUUACUAUUAGCAAGGGACACAGGGAUUGCUCCAGUGAAGUAAUUUCCUGCCAAAUUCAGCAUCUUCAAGUUAGAAGAAGACCCCCAAUUCUGUGGAAACUCGCCCUCAAAGUUUAAGCUUGGGGCCCAAAGCACAUGGAGAUUGGGUAGCCUUGUAAUACUAUCAGGCAACUUGCCAUCAAAAUAGUUAAACUCCCCCUCCCCACGCUCCUCUUCUUCAAUUGUCGAACUUGAAAAAUCUGUUGACCACAGGGGACCAUAGUUAUUUUUUAGGACAAGCAGCUUUAACUGCCCACAGUUGCCCAACUCGGGCGGUACAAUCCCACUUAAGAAAUUUCUGGACAAGUCAAGCACUUCAAGAUUUCCCAAUUGCCCAAGGGUCGAAGGAAUACCAUCUUGCAACAAAUUUGAAGAGAGAAUCAAAGACUGAAGCUCUUUGCAAUUCCCUAGACUAGAAGGAAUUGAACCCGAGAAUGAAUUCCCAUCAAGAAGAAGAUGCUCAAGGCUCCCACAAUUGCCGCCCAAAUCAUACGGAAUGGAACCGCUCAACAAAUUAAAGGAAAGCGAAAGAAUUUGCAAACCCGGAAAUUGAUUAACAAAUGUAGGAAUUGUACCAUUUAAUCGAUUCCCAGAGAGAUUAAUAACGCGCAAUGACGUGCAAUUUUGGAGGGAAACCGGUAUAGUCCCGUGAAAAGCAUUAAAACCCAAGUCAAGAACCUCUAACAGGUAAAGCUGGCCAAUCUCCAAAGGCAGCUCUCCAUAAAACCCAUUAAACCCAAGAGACAAGACUGCAAGCUGAGAGAGAUGGCCAAUUGCAGGCGACAAUUUUCCAGCCAAUUUUGGUGACGAGUCUUCGUUAAACCCUGAGCAAGGAAAUAGCAAAGAGAAGUUACCCACUACACCAUUUGUCGCUGUUGAAGUUGGAGAAAAAGAAACAAGAGGGCAGGUAGAAUUGUUAUUGGAGGAGAGAUUAAGGGCUCUGACUCGACGGGAAAGACGGUCGCAGGUAACGCCAUUCCAGGAACAAGGGUCUGGAUCCUUAGGGUUCCAAUUGGAGGUGAGCCCUGAUGGGUCUCUAAUGAUUGCAGAUUUGAACAACAGCAAUGCCUGCUUAUCAUCAACGCUUGAAGCAGCCAAACCAACUGAACUGUACAAAAUUAGAACAAGAAUAAUCACUGACAAAGAUUUACAGAGCAGACCACGGUGAAGAUGGUAAUGAUCAGAAUUGAGUGGCAUUUUUUCUUUUUCUGGUUUCGAAUUGGGGAAAGAAAGAGAGAGAGAGGAGAUAUGGUAGAGAAGGAGAAGCUACAAAGCCUCUCUUCCAAGCUUAGAAGAGAAGCGAGAACCUGAGGUCUGCCAUGGAGGUAGGUGUGCUAGUUGGUGGUGAAGUGAGAACCAGCAGAGUGUUAAAAAAAAAUUAAAAUAAAAAUAGAAGAAAAAGACAGUGAAACGUCAACGAUACAAGAGGAAGAAUUGUAAAAUUCCAAAGCGAAAAAGGCAAUGAAAAUUGAACUCCUUUUGUUUUCCUUUGUGC